rnacentral:rRNA from 1 species
GUGUCGUGAGAUGUUGGGUUAAGUCCCGCAACGAGCGCAACCCCUAUUUCCAGUAGCCAGCAGGUAAGGCUGGGCACUCUGGAGAGACUGCCCGGGACAACCGGGAGGAAGGCGGGGAUGACGUCAAAUCAUCAUGCCCUUUAUGACCAGGGCGACACACGUGCUACAAUGGCGUAAACAAAGGGAAGCAGGACGGCGACGUUGAGCAAAUCCCAGAAAUAACGUCCCAGUUCGGAUUGUAGUCUGCAACCCGACUACAUGAAGCUGGAAUCGCUAGUAAUCGCGAAUCAGAAUGUCGCGGUGAAUACGUUCCCGGGUCUUGUACACACCGCCCGUCACACCAUGGGAGUCGAAAAUGCCCGAAGUCAGUGACCCAACCGCAAGGAGGGAGCUGCCGAAGGUGGAGCCGGUAACUGGGGUGAAGUCGUAACAAGGUAACUGU